CAGUCGCCACGGUAAUACGAAGGGUGCAAGCGUUAAUCGGAAUUACUGGGCGUAAAAGGCGUGUAGGCGGCCUGGGGCGUCCCAUGUGAAAGGCCACGGCUCAACCGUGGAGGAGCGUGGGAUACGCUCAGGCUAGAGGGUGGGAGAGGGUGGUGGAAUUCCCGGAGUAGCGGUGAAAUGCGCAGAUACCGGGAGGAACGCCGAUGGCGAAGGCAGCCACCUGGUCCACUUCUGACGCUGAGGCGCGAAAGCGUGGGGAGCAAACAGGAUUAGAUACCCGGGUAGUCCCUGUCUCUUAUAC
rnacentral:rRNA from 1 species